UUUCCCUACGGGAGGCAGCAGUAGGGAAUCUUCCACAAUGGACGAAAGUCUGAUGGAGCAACGCCGCGUGAGUGAAGAAGGGUUUCGGCUCGUAAAGCUCAGUUGGUAGGGAAGAAAGAUAGAGGUAGUAAACGGCCUUUAUUUGACGGGAAUUACUUAGAAAGUCACGGCUAACUACGUGCCAGCAGCCGCGGUAAUACGUAGGGGGCAAGCGUUGUCCGGAUUUAUUGGG
rnacentral:rRNA from 1 species